UCAGAGGGCCCUUUACCCUCCCCGACCCAUUCCUAGGCCACUGGGGCAGCUCCCUGGGCCCACCUCUCUGCCAGUCCUAGCCCAGGCUGCCCAGGCAGGAGCUCCCAGCCUGCUGGGGGCUGACCCCCGGCCCACUGACCCCAGCCCUGGCCCCAGCAGGCAGGCGGGCAUUGCUCAACCUUCGGUGUUAUCUGCUGAGCUGGGGUGACCUCUGCCCUCAAGAGCUGGAGAAAUAACAUUUCUGGGCACCCUUGGUGGGUAGGAGGCAGGGAGGGAGGAGAUAGAAAGCUGGCCCAGCCUGCUGGCUUUCUGGGCCUUCCCAGCAACCUCUGAGCUGGGGAGGGAUCAGGCCCCAGAGGGGUGCAGCAGGUUCCCCAGGGCCACCCAGCCAGGCCUUCCUCACUGCAAAAUGGGACACUCAGGGCUGAGCUAGAGGCCACAGCUUCCCAGAGGCCCUCUCUGUCCCACCUGCUGGCAAAUGUCCUUCCCUGUCACCAGCCUCCGUUAUCCUAGUUGUCUAUCUUAGCCUCCCUACAGACUGCCACUCGGGGAGGGCUGUCCCACGAGGGACUCCUGGGGCAGCACACUCAACAUGGACCCGUGAAUGAAUGCAUUUGCUGUUCCCUGUGCACCAAGAACACUGUCACCCCCCCCCCGCCCAAGGCAACGCCUCAGGUCUCAGCCCAAAGGCUGCCUCCUCCAGGAAACAGCCCCCCUCCAAUCUCCCCAUGGGAAGUCCAGCCCCUCAGUCGCUCCUCACACACUCCCUGCUGUCACCAUUCUUACUGUGAUCAGAAUUAUCUCAUCUGCCCAUCUUGCUGUCUGUCCCCAUGGCCUUCACUACUGUGUCCCCGGUGCCUAGAACAGAGCAUGGUACACAGAGGGUGCUCAAUGAAUGAAUAAUGGAGGAGGCUGAGAGGAAGGAGAGGUUCCUCGUUAGCUGGCUGUGUGACCUUAGGCAAAAUGGCUUCCCUCUCUGAGCCACAGCACUCGCCCACAUCCUCCCUUCUGGAUUCUGAAGAGACGCAAUGAGAUUUGGGGGACUGAAGGUAAUUGGAAGAUUUGCUGUGUGUCCUCAGGCCAACCUUCCACCCUCUCUGAACUACAUUCCAAGCUCUUUAUGAGGACACUGAGGCCCAGAAGAACUAGCCCAGAAGAACUACGUGUGUCUGCCUCAGGUCACACGGAAAGAUGAGAAGGAACAAAAUCUGCCCAGCCCGACUUUCCCCCUUGGGUUUGUCAUAACAGGCCUGGCAAUGCCCCGCCUGCUGCUUCCCUACCCCCACCCCAGUCCUGUUCAGCCUUUCCUCAAGGAGGAGGAUGGUGGGAACUUGAGGGCCACCAUCCCGGAGGCCCAGAGCAUCUUUUCCCUAGCCCAUUUUCAAGAGGGGAAAAACUGAGGCAGUUCGCCAAGGGGAGACCCACAGUGGCUGCUUUGACGGAGAGUGCUUUGCUGAGGGGCUUAGAAACCAGACAGCAGCGGCCAGGCACGGUGGCUCAUGCCUGUAAUCCCAACACUUUGGGAGGCCCAAGGUCAGGCGUUCGAGACCAGCCUG